AUGCAAGUCGCACGAGAAAGGGGACUUCGGUCCCCGAGUACAGUGGCGCACGGGUGAGUAACACGUGAAUCAUCUACCUUCGAGUGGGGAAUAACUGAGAGAAAUCUUAGCUAAUACCGCAUAAUACCUACGGGUCAAAGCAGCAAUGCGCUUGAAGAGGAGUUCGCGGCAGAUUAGUUAGUUGGCGGGGUAAUGGCCCACCAAGACGAUGAUCUGUAUCCGGCCUGAGAGGGCGCACGGACACACUGGAACUGAAACACGGUCCAGACUCCUACGGGAGGCAGCAGUGGGGAAUUUUGCGCAAUGGGGGAAACCCUGACGCAGCAACGCCGCGUGGAGGAUGAAAUCCCUUGGGAUGUAAACUCCUUUCGAUCGGGAAGAUAAUGACGGUACCGAGAGAAGAAGCCCCGGCUAACUUCGUGCCAGCAGCCGCGGUAAUACGAGGGGGGCAAGCGUUGUUCGGAAUUACUGGGCGUAAAGGGUGCGUAGGCGGUUUGAUAAGUCACAUGUGAAAUCUUCGGGCUCAACCCGAAGUCUGCAUGCGAAACUGUCGGGCUUGAGUAUGGGAGAGGUGAGUGGAAUUUCCGGUGUAGCGGUGAAAUGCGUAGAUAUCGGAAGGAACACCUGUGGCGAAAGCGGCUCACUGGACCAUAACUGACGCUGAUGCACGAAAGCUAGGGGAGCAAACAGGAUUAGAUACCCUGGUAGUCCUAGCCCUAAACGAUGAUUGCUUGAUGUGGUGGGUACCCAAUCCCGCCGUGUCGAAGCUAACGCGAUAAGCAAUCCGCCUG
rnacentral:rRNA from 1 species